rnacentral:rRNA from 1 species
UACAGAGGUCUCAAGCGUUGUUCGGAUUCAUUGGGCGUAAAGAGCGUGCAGGCGGUCGUUCAAGUCGCGUGUGAAAGCCCCCGGCUCAACUGGGGAGGGUCACGCGAUACUGAUCGACUCGAAGGCAGGAGAGGGUAGUGGAAUUCCCGGUGUAGUGGUGAAAUGCGUAGAUAUCGGGAGGAACACCAGUGGCGAAGGCGGCUACCUGGCCUGUUCUUGACGCUGAGGCGCGAAAGCUAGGGGAGCAAACGGG